rnacentral:rRNA from 1 species
GAUGAACGCUAGCGGCAGGCUUAAUACAUGCAAGUCGAGGGAUAGCACAGGUAGCAAUACUGGGUGGUAACCGGCAAACGGGUGCGGAACACGUACACAACCUUCCUUUAAGUGGGGGAUAGCCCAGAGAAAUUUGGAUUAAUACCCCGUAAUAUAGUUGAGUGGCAUCAUUUGAUUAUUAUAGCUACGGCGCUUAAUGAUGGGUGUGCGGCUGAUUAGAUAGUUGGCGGGGUAACGGCCCACCAAGUCUACGAUCAGUAGCUGAUGUGAGAGCAUGAUCAGCCACACGGGCACUGAGACACGGGCCCGACUCCUACGGGAGGCAGCAGUAAGGAAUAUUGGUCAAUGGACGCAAGUCUGAACCGGCCAUGCCGCGUGAAGGAUUAAGGUCCUCUGGAUUGUAAACUUCUUUUAUUUGGGACGAAAAAGGGCCUUUCUAGGUCAACUGACGGUACCAGAUGAAUAAGCACCGGCUAACUCCGUGCCAGCCGCCGCAGUAAAAC